CCACCACCUUUGGGGUGAGAUCUCCUGAAUAGUGAAACAUCGCUUUAGUUUCUCUGGGUAUGGAUGAUGCAUGUGUCAUUUAUUGGUUUUAGUUUAAUGUUAAUAGAAGGUAAGUUAACUGAUUAAUUUAGGGCAUUUGCUUUGAAUGUUUCCUUAGUUAUUAAAGCAUUAUUUAUAUUAUAAUAUAGACUGGUAUUGCAGUUACUUCCACUUCUUUAGAUCUGCCCUAAAUGAGAAGUGUUGCUGUCCCCAACAAGGCGGUGGGGAAUAACAACCCCCUUGAACUCUAGCAUAAGUGUGAGGUUAGAGUAGAUAAUACUAUAGUGGCAUUUUUGCUAUUAAACCAAAUAAUAAUUAUAUAUAUAUAAUAUAUAUAUUUUAUAUAUAUAUAUAUAAAAUCACAUUAAACCAAAGUCUGUGUAGUAGAGUAGGGUAUGUUUAGGUUGGCCUUUGAUUCAGAGCUGGGUUGUGUCCAUUGAGGAGUAGCAUAUUGUUUAAGUAGGCCGUAAAAUUUCCUCGUAGUCUUGACAAAUUCUUGAUUCAGACAUAGAUUUACCCAUGUGGAAUUUGGGGAAGUUAGAGACACUCAGCUCUUCCUCAUUAGGAUAACAGAGGAAUAUCUAGAAGCGUGUUAAACAAUCCCUCUAAAUCAGCAUCCACUGUCUAAGUCACAGCAAUGCUUUGCUUGAAGUGACAAAACUGGUUUGAUAAGAUGCAGUCAUGUCAGAGCUGGAAGUACAAAAGUGCAUUUAUUAAAAAUGAAUGCUGUAUCCUCUUUCCCCUCGUGUAUCUUGUCACUGACAUGACUUCACAAGUUGCAAAUCUAUUAAACAUUUCAAACAUGAAACGAGCUCAUUAAGCAAAAUGUUGACUGGAAUAUAGCAAACUGUUUCAGACUCAAGACAGUUAAUAUUUGUCUCCAGAGUUUUUUGUCUUCUAGGUUGUCACCAAGCAAUCCAGCUGUCUGGGAAUACAGUUUAUGUUUCAUCUGAUCAGAGUCUGACUGUCCUUUGGGGUGAGGUAGUAGGUUGUAUAGUUUUAGGGUUAUGCCCUGCCUGUCAGAUAACUAUACAAUCUACUGUCUUUCCUGAAGUGGCUGUGAUAUCAUCGUGGGAUAUGUCUUCAAAGACAAAGCAAGUAUAUUUCAACCAUAACAGUCUCUGACUCUGUCUACAUGUUGGAUUUGGUUCUUGUAGCAGGAUUAUGAAAGAACACAGAUGUCCUUACAGUGUUUAGAUUCCUUUAUUUCUCAUUCAGAUUCAGAAGAAAUUUCCUCAGAGAAGGAGGGGUGUAAGUGACAGGGCACAGAGGUAUGACCCAAUCUGCAAUAGGCUUGUUCAUGCUCAGCUUUCUCAGACUGCCAUGAGAGUGGCCAUUUGGAAACAGCUGACCCAUUUCUCCAUGACUUUGUGGCAUUUGUGUUUAUAUUCAGUGGAAAAUGCCACUUUUGAUUCAGCAGCUAUUUAAAUGUACUUUACAUAGGCUGUUUGAGAAAUUAUGAAGUGAAUACUUGGACAAAAACCAAAGAGGAUGUCUUCCAGUUGUUCAUAUUUUGCCCUGGAAGUGGUAAAUGCUUGAUCCCUAAGUAAAGAGGUUUCUUUAAUCAGUUUUUAUAUGCUGAUUUAACUUGCUUUUUUAUUACAUAAUGCUAAUUUGGGAGGGACAGUGCAUGCCACUGUGGUUCUUACGUCUCUGGAGUCAGCCCACCAAUUUCUGACUGACUUCCAGGUAGAAUUGUGAGGAAGGGCCGAGAGGAGGUAAUUGUGGUCUUUUGAAGGCUAGAAAUAGGUGAGCUAGAGGGUCCUUGGGGAAUCUUAAUUGCAAAAGGUGAAAUGUUAGUUUCCUUCAGAAGAUGUGCUUGAUGCUCUAACAGGAUGAGGUAGUAGGUUGUGUGGUUUCAGGGUAGUGAUUUUGCCCCAAUCAGGAGAUAACUAUACAACCUACUGCCUUCCCUGAUAAGCAGCAUAACAACAUCAGUGUCUUAAUUCACAGAAAAACAAGAGCUAAAAUACACUUCUGAGACCAGCAAAGUAAGUCCAGAUACAGUUGUUGUUAUCCUGUCCGUAAUAGCUCUAAAUUUAGUGUCUUGCAUUGUUUUUUAAUAACUGCUUGCAAAAUAAUUAUCUACUUAAAAGUCUUUAUCAUGAGAAAUUGAAUUAAAGAACUUUUGCUUAUUUCAAAGUUUGUCUGCUCUUGAUUUGUUUCAUUUCUGAUUCAUUUGAGUGGAAUGAAGUUACUGUGGGAAAUUAUUCAAAAAAUGCUGUGAACUUUCCUUCAAGGUGUUCGUAUUUCCUUGACUUCUUAGUUUGUGUGCAACAAAUUUUACUUGUUUUGUUCAACCUUACCUCCCCUUCAGGAACCUUCCAGUGUUCUACAAAUAAUACCAGAUUAAGUCACACAACAUUCUCCAGCAGAGGAUCCCUUAAUUUGAAACUGCUGUAAGGAUACUUACCAUGCUGGCCAUGUUCAAGGGCUGCGGGACAUGCAUUGCAGAUUCUGAACUCUCUUUCUUCUGCUGAAAAUGCAGACUCACAGCUGCAGUGUAAACAUCUUCGAUGAGCAUGGAUAAUGUGAGACCUCGCAGCAAACGCAGGGUGACAUGAGCACAGGGCAGAGCUGCACAGAGCCACCUGCAUUAAACACUCUCCAUCAAGAUGCAAAGCAAAACAGCUGGCAAGAGGGAGGAAAGCUGUAAUUACAGCCAAUAAAUGACUCCUGAGCCAACACCUGCUGCUGAGCCCCUGGUUUUGAAACAGAAACAGGAGCUUUUUCCCUUCCUAGGGCAACGUGGUUACCUGAAGAGAGAGCAGGCAAGAUGAGAAAGGCAUCGGUACCGACAGGGAAAGGGGUGACAACGUGCCCAUUAGGUGAACUGCAUGUGGAGACUGCAAUGAGAAAUGCUGCACAGGGAGAACAAAAAUUCCUGAUUUCCAAAUAGCCUGUCCAGAAUGUAGCCUACUGAACUGGCCACCUGGCUUUCGGGAUGUUUAGCGAUGCUCUGCAGUGGUAAGAAACUGAAUACUCUGUAAGCAUUACAGUUCUGUCUCACCUUUUAACUCUCUAUGGUCAUUUGUUUAGUACUAACAGCGUGCAUCGUAUUUUAGAGCAGUAAAAAAUUGUUAUGCUUG